rnacentral:rRNA from 1 species
UGCAAGUCGAGCGCGGGAAGCUAACUGAAACCUUCGGGUGGACGUAAGUGGAACGAGCGGCGGACGGGUGAGUAACACGUGGGUAACCUGCCUGUAAGACUGGGAUAACUCCGGGAAACCGGGGCUAAUACCGGAUAACACCUCGGAUCGCAUGAUUCGAAGUUGAAAGAUGGUUCUGCUAUCACUUACAGAUGGACCCGUGGCGCAUUAACUAGUUGGUGAGGUAGUGGCUCACCAAGGCAACGAUGCGUAGCCGACCUGAGAGGGUGAUCGGCCACACUGGGACUGAGACACGGCCCAGACUCCUACGGGAGGCAGCAGUAGGGAAUCUUCCGCAAUGGACGAAAGUCUGACGGAGCAACGCCGCGUGAACGAUGAAGGCCUUCGGGUCGUAAAGUUCUGUUGUUAGGGAAGAACAAGUACCAGAGUAACUGCUGGUACCUUGACGGUACCUAACCAGAAAGCCACGGCUAACUACGUGCCAGCAGCCGCGGUAAUACGUAGGUGGCAAGCGUUGUCCGGAAUUAUUGGGCGUAAAGCGCGCGCAGGCGGUUCCUUAAGUCUGAUGUGAAAGCCCACGGCUCAACCGUGGAGGGUCAUUGGAAACUGGGGAACUUGAGUACAGAAGAGGAGAGCGGAAUUCCACGUGUAGCGGUGAAAUGCGUAGAGAUGUGGAGGAACACCAGUGGCGAAGGCGGCUCUCUGGUCUGUAACUGACGCUGAGGCGCGAAAGCGUGGGGAGCGAACAGGAUUAGAUACCCUGGUAGUCCACGCCGUAGACGAUGAGUGCUAGGUGUUAGGGGUUUCCACCCUUAGUGCUGCAGUUAACGCAAUAAGCACUCCGCCUGGGGAGUACGGCCGCAAGGCUGAAACUCAAAGGAAUUGACGGGG